UAGACUGAUGCUCGCUGGCUGGGGCGUUUAGCUGUUAACUAAGAAUUUAUAGGAUCGAGGCCUAUCUGUCUAG
rnacentral:tRNA from 1 species